rnacentral:misc_RNA from 1 species
AAAUAAUCGUAAGAACUUUUAUAAAUUUAUGUCUAGACUUUAGUGUGUAUCGAACAAUUUUCACCUUCUUUAAGUUCGCCCAUCAGAGCAGGGAGUUGCAUUUUCACCUUCUUCACGUUCGCAGUAGAGCAGGGAGUUGCAGCUUCAAUUACAAAGAAGUGGAAGGCCUUGACACGAAUUUCGAACACGGCGGGGCUGCGGGCGAAGACGAGGAACCGACGGCCGUGUCGCAGCACAUACGGUAUACGGAGCACUGGAGGGACGCUCGAAACGACGACGGCAAGUGGCGUCAUGGCACAGAAGCUGAUGGUGCCAUGAUGAGCUUGCAACGCGUCGACGAAGCGACGGCGAAGAACAUCGGGGGCAUACUCGUCGGCGGCAUGAAGAAACAGAAUGCUCCGACUGGACAUGGGGGGCGGCAAUGGCCACAGGCGAAGAAAUUUGCGAGAACAGCACGCAUGGAGCUGGGCCAGCGCGGCGUGGUGAGGAGAACAGAGGGCUCGGGACGCUAGGAAAAUUGUCUGCGGCUAGUGGCAAGGAUAGUGAGCUGUGGCGUGGCUUCGGUGGGCAAGCUGCGAGCAGGAGCGAUGGAGCAGGAAGCGAGCAACGACGAACUCCGGCAAGGUGGAGUUGCCGACGGUGACGGCUGUGCUCGGUCAGAUGCGGUGGGCGAGAGUAGCGGAGACAGGAGCAAGCAACAGGGCAAAAAGAAGCUCGACACGGC